rnacentral:rRNA from 1 species
UUUAUCAAAAACAUGUCUUUUUGAAUUUAAUUUAAAGUCUANCCUGCCCACUGAAUUUUAAAUGGCCGCAGUAUUCUAACUGUGCAAAGGUAGCAUAAUCAUUAGUCUUUUAAUUGAAGGCUGGUAUGAAUGGUUGGAUGAGAUAUUAACUGUUUCAAUUUAAGUUNUUAUAGAAUUUUAUUUUUUAGUUAAAAAGCUAAAAUUAAAUUAAAAGACGAGAAGACCCUAUAAAUCUUUAUAGUUAUUGAUAUAUAAGUAAUUAGAAAUUAAAUUUAUUUAUCAGGUAAUUAUUUUAUUGGGGUGAUAUUAAAAUUUAAUAAACUUUUAAUUAAAAUUAAACAUUAAUUAAUGAAUUAUUGAUCCAUAAAUUAUGAUUAGCAAAUUAAGUUACUUUAGGGAUAACAGCGUAAUUUUUUUAGAGAGUUCAUAUUGAUAAAAAAGAUUG